AUUGAACGCUGGCGGCCUGCUUUACACAUGCAAGUCGGACGAGUGGCGAACGGGUGAGUAACGCAUCGGAACGUAACGAGUAAUGGGGGAUAACUGUCCGACAGGAAAGCUAAUACCGCAUAUUAUUCGCGCGGCCGAGUUCUGAUUAGUGGGUUGGCGGGGUAAAGGCCCACCAAGGCUACGAUCAGUAGCGGGGCUGAGAGGAUGAUCGCAAACAUUGGGACUGAGACACGGCCCAGACUCCUUCGGGAGGCAGCAGUGGGGAAUUUGGGACAAGGGGCGCAAGCCUGAUGCAGCCAUGCCGCGUGUCUGAAGAAGGCCUUCGGGUUGUAAAGGACGUUUGUCAGGGAAGCGGUACCUGAAGAAUAAGCACCGGCUAACUACGUGCCAGCAGCCGCGGUAAUUC
rnacentral:rRNA from 1 species